rnacentral:rRNA from 1 species
GACGAACGCUGGCGGCGUGCCUAAUACAUGCAAGUUGAGCGAUGAAGAUUGGUGCUUGCACCAAUUUGAAGAGCAGCGCACGGGUGAGUAACGCGUGGGGAAUCUGCCUUUGAGCGGGGGACAACAUUUGGAAACGAAUGCUAAUACCGCAUAACAACUUUAAACAUAAGUUUUAAGUUUGAAAGAUGCAAUUGCAUCACUCAAAGAUGAUCCCGCGUUGUAUUAGCUAGUUGGUGAGGUAAAGGCUCACCAAGGCGAUGAUACAUAGCCGACCUGAGAGGGUGAUCGGCCACAUUGGGACUGAGACACAGCCCAAAAUCCUACGGGAGGCAGCCGUAGGGAAUCUUCGGCAAUGGACGAAAGUCUGACCGAGCAGCGCCGCGUGAGUGAAGAAGGUUAUCGGAUCGUAAAACUCUGUUGGUAGAGAAGAACGUAGGUGAGAGUGGAAAGCGCAUCAAGUGACGGUAACUACCCAGAAAGGGACGGCUAACUACGUG